GUUGUUUGCAUUUUGUUAAUGCCUAUUCUAAGUAUCGAUCUGAUUCCGAGGAUAUUCAGACAUUUUUUUUUAAACUUUUCAAUGUUAUACAAAUUCAACAUGGUUUCACUAAAUCCAGAGAAUAGUUGAUUGCGUAGACCGCUGUAAAAUUGGCAUUCAACCAGAAAGUGUUAUUCAUAUUCAAUCUCCGGUGCAGAGAUCAUAUCCGUUCUGUUCAAUAUAUGGAAGUGUUUAACGACCUUGACUGGCUUUUAAGCCCUCACACGGUCGGUUUCCGUUCAAUACUUUGUAACACUACACUCAAUAUUAAAAAGGCACGGUAGUAUUUCCUGGCCC
rnacentral:lncRNA from 1 species